rnacentral:rRNA from 1 species
GACGAACGCUGGCGGCGCGCUUAAUACAUGCAAGUCGAGCGAGAACCAGUCCUUCGGGACUGGGGAAAGCGGCGAACGGGUGAGUAACACGUGGGUAAUCUGCCCUCGGCACUGGGAUAGCCCGGGGAAACCCGGAUUAAUACCGGAUAGCCUUUCGAGCCUUCGGGCUCGUCAGAAAAGGUGGCUUCGGCUUCCGGCUGAGGAUGAGCCCGCGGCGGAUUAGCUUGUUGGUGAGGUAAUGGCUCACCAAGGCUCCGAUCUGUAGCUGGUCUGAGAGGACGAUCAGCCACACUGGGACUGAGACACGGCCCAGACUCCUACGGGAGGCAGCAGUAGGGAAUCUUGCGCAAUGGGCGAAAGCCUGACGCAGCGACGCCGCGUGCGGGAAGAAGGCCUUCGGGUUGUAAACCGCUUUCAGGAGGGACGAAGCCACUCGGGUUAAUAGCCCAGAGGGUGACGGUACCUCCAGAAGAAGCCCCGGCUAACUACGUGCCAGCCGCCGCCGUAACAC